rnacentral:rRNA from 1 species
AUUGAACGCUGGCGGCAGGCCUAACACAUGCAAGUCGAGCGGAGCGGCGGACGGGUGAGUAAUGCCUAGGAAUCUGCCUGGUAGUGGGGGAUACCGUCCGGAAACGGGCGCUAAUACCGCAUACUAUCAGAUGAGCCUAGGUCGGAUUAGCUAGAUGGUGGGGUAAAGGCCUACCAAGGCGAAGAUCGGUAACUGGUCUGAGAGGAUGAUCAGUCACAAUGGAACGGAGACACGGUCCAGACUCCUACGGGAGGCAGCAGUGGGGAACAUUGGACAAUGGGCGAAAGCCUGAUCGAGCAAUGCCGCGAGGGGGAAGAAGGUCUUCGGAUUGUAAAGCAAUUUAAGUUGGGAGGCGUUACCAACAGAAUAAGCACCGGCUAACUUCGUGCCAGCCGCCGCGGUAAUUC